AACGAACGCUGGCGGCAGGCCUAACACAUGCAAGUCGAGCGAGGACUUCGGUCCUAGCGGCGGACGGGUGAGUAACGCGUGGGAACGUGCCCUUUGCUUCGGAAUAGCCCUGGGAAACUGGGAUUAAUACCGGAUGAGCCCUUUGGGGGAAAGAUUUAUCGGCGAAGGAUCGGCCCGCGUUGGAUUAGGUAGUUGGUGGGGUAAUGGCCUACCAAGCCGACGAUCCAUAGCUGGUUUGAGAGGAUGAUCAGCCACACUGGGACUGAGACACGGCCCAGACUCCUACGGGAGGCAGCAGUGGGGAAUCUUAGACAAUGGGGGAAACCCUGAUCUAGCCAUGCCGCGUGAGCGAUGAAGGCCUUAGGGUUGUAAAGCUCUUUCAGCUGGGAAGAUAAUGACGGUACCAGCAGAAGAAGCCCCGGCUAACUCCGUG
rnacentral:rRNA from 1 species